GCCGGAAUAACUCAUUUAGGUGAGCAGCCACAGAGUAUGUGAAAGGCUGUUGGUUCGAUCCCAACUUCCGGCUUA
rnacentral:tRNA from 1 species